rnacentral:lncRNA from 1 species
GUUUAGGCGGUGAAUUAUUGUUUGUCUAAUUUUCAUUUGUUUCAUUUUACAUUUGCUUCAUUAUUCAUUUACAUUUAAGGUUUUCUUCAUUUACAAUUUCUUCCCCUCAGCGGCGAAAUACAAAUCUGAACCUUAUUUGGUGAACAAGGGCGGCGAAAUUCAAAGGUUAGAUAAAAAUUAUUAUGUUUUUUUUGUUCUUUUGGUGAACAAGGUGGACAAGGCGGAACCCUAUUUGUUUUUUGGUGAACAAGUUGGACUCGAUUUUGAGAAAUUCAAGUAAUAAGUUUACUAGUAUUUUCGAUUUAUGUUGUCUUUCUCAGUUUUCCCGAUUUUUCCAAAACAAAAUGGAGAAAUGGUUAUUUAUGCUUAUUUAUGAAGAUUUGUUGAAUAAUAACUUCGAUUUACUGUAUGGGCCCCUCAUCUUUUACAAAACGCACGUGUUGUCCUUAUUUGCAUCUGUCGUUUUCAAAAAGGUGUUGGGAUUGUGUUUAUGAAUAUUGAUUUUUUUUUUCUUUCUGUAUGAACCCUACCAGCAUUCGCCCUCCAUUCCACAGACGACUAAAUCUGAGCCUUUUUUAUGUACUAAAUGUACUAAUCUAUACCCAAAAUAGAAGGAAUAAACAAAAAAAUUGAUGGGGUUUUUAUAUGCACUUUAUGCACGUAUUAUUUUGGAUGUUUUUCUAUUGAUUAUUGAAGUUUGAAUUUUUAAUUUUACGUUUACAGUAAAAUAUGCUAAUUUCAUGUUUUUAUUUGUUUACUUAAGGCACCAAUGGUUGGUCAAUCAAAAGUGAAGAAUAAUGCAAAAGGUAUAAUUUGUAUUAAUUUAUUUCUAUAUUUGCGGUUCUGCUUAUAUCAAUUAGAAAAUUAAUGAUCUCCUUAUCUUUUGUUCAUAAAAAGCUUUGGGUGGGGAAAAUGGUGAUUCCCCGGUGAAGAAGAAACAAAGGACCACUGCACUGCCUGGAAUAGUAAUUCGUGGUAGACUUGUUUUAAAAAAAUUAUUAUUUUUAGGGUUAUUGUGACUUUGAAAAUGAUAUAUUUUUUUAAUUCACUGUGUUAUAGUAAUUGUAGUUUCAUAUAUUUUUAAAAUUGGCGCACAAGUCUCAUCAUCAUAUGUAACCUUAUGGUAUGUAUGACGUUGAUAGUCCAUUGCGCUGUUGAAAUUCAUAUAUAAUAGCAAG